GCCGAAGUGGUGGAAUUGGUAGACACGCUAGACUCAAAAUCUAGUGGGAGUAAUCCCGUGUCGGUUCGAGUCCGACCUUCGGCACCA
rnacentral:tRNA from 1 species